rnacentral:lncRNA from 10 species
GCUGACCAUCUUGACCAGAAUAGAAGAGGGAGGCAAAAUGUGUGUAUCCCUGAGCUGGAAGUUCAACCAGGCAGAUUUCAUGGGCUUCUUUCACACAAGAAGGUCAUUUUCAGAUCCAAUGGCCCAGUGGCAUUCUGGCAGCUCUUUUCUAUUCUUCAUUCUUGGUUGGAACCUGAAGGUAGUAUGCUCCUCUGGCUUUGGUCUAAUAUUUGAGGCCACUCUGCCUUCCUAGUAUUUGUAUAAUAUGGCCCCUUAAGCCCCUACCGAGAUGGCUAGGAAGUGGGAGUGAAAGUUAAGGCUCUUGGGAUGGUGGGAGGAAAGACAAUUGAUUUAUUUUUGAGCACGUAUCCAAAAUAAAUAAAUAAUAUAUUUAUAAACAUAAAU